GAGGCGCUGUCUGCGAGUCGGGUUGUUUGGGAAUGCAGCCCAAAUCGGGCGGUAAAUUCCGUCCAAGGCUAAAUACGGGCGAGAGACCGAUAGCAAACAAGUACCGCGAGGGAAAGAUGAAAAGGACUUUGAAAAGAGAGUCAAAGAGUGCUUGAAAUUGUCGGGAGGGAAGCGGAUGGGGGCUGGCGAUGCGCCCCGGUCGGAUGUGGAACGGUGAUGAGCCGGUCCGCCGAUCGGCUCGGGGCGUGGACCGAUGCGGAUUGCGACGGCGGCCCAAGCCCGGGCUGAUGAUACGCCCGUGGAGAUGCCGUCGUCGCGAUCGUGGCUGGCAGCGCGCGCCGCAAGGCGUGCCUCGGCACCUGCGCGCUCCUGGCGUCGGCUUGCGAGCUCCCCAUUCGGCCCGUCUUGUAACACGGACCAAGG
rnacentral:rRNA from 12 species